rnacentral:misc_RNA from 1 species
GUGUUAUCGGCAGCUACCCUGGCUCGACUAACGACUAUGUCGUUGUCGCUCGCUGAAAUGUCACAGUGAUUUAUCGUCCGAACGGAAUAGUCAUCGCCGAUAUUUAGAUACAAUUUUUUUCGACGAGGGAGUAUAUUUUAUGCCAUUGAUUUUACUCCAGACGGGUACGCGGUGUAUGUGGAAAAUUGGUAUGAUAUGCGUUGAUUGUAAAAGUAUUAUAAACGAUGUGGGAAUGCUGUA